AUGAUGGACUGUAGGUCAGGGCUCCUGGUGUUCACUGUCUUCUUUGCAGGUGUUGCUGGUCAGACUCUGACMGAGUCUGAACCAGUGACUAAAAGACCAGGAGAAUCCCACAGACUGACCUGUACAGGCUCUGGAUUCAGAUUCAGCAGCUAUCCCAUGAACUGGGUCAGACAGGCUCCUGGGAAAGGACUGGAAUGGAUCGCUUUUGUGCACACAGGCAGUAGCUCUCGCUAUUACUCCCAGUCUGUCCAAGGCAGAUUUACCAUUUCCAGAGACGACUCCAGCAGCAAAGUCUAUCUGCAGAUGAACAAUCUUAGGACUGAGGACACAGCAGUUUACUACUGUGCCCGAAGAGACACUCUGACAGAUGUUGCAGUGGUCAGAAUAUGGAGUCCAUACCUUCCAGUCCAGUAG